rnacentral:rRNA from 1 species
GAUGAACGCUGGCGGCAUGCCUAACACAUGCAAGUCGGACGGGAACCCCGGGACACGUUGCUUCCAGUGGCGGACGGGGGCGUAACGCGUAAGAACCUGCCCUUGGGAGGGGCACAACGGCUGGUAACGGCGGCUAAUAUCCCCUAGGCCGAGGUGCAACAUGAGGGUUCCGCCCGGGGAUGGGCUCGCGUCUGAUUAGCUAGUUGGGGAGGCAGUAGCUUACUACGUCGAUGAUCAGUAGCUGGUCCGAGAGGCUGAUCGGCCACACUGUGACUGAGACACGGCGCGGAGACCUACGGGAGGCAGGAGUGGGGAAUAUUCCGCAAUGGGGGAUAGCCUGACGGGGCAAUGCGGCGGGGAAGUAGAAGGGCCACGGGUCGUGAACUGCUUUUCCCGGAGAAGAAGUAAUGACGGUAUCUGGAGAAUAAGCACCGGCUAACUCCGUG